AGCCAGCGUGAUGGCGUCAGGCGCCGCAGGGCUGCGUCCUGUUGUCAGUGGCCGAGAGGCCGCAGCUUCCGGCCAGAGGCUGAGGGGCUGCCGCCGCCGCGAGUGGCCCCUGCCCCCCUGCCCGCCCCCCUUGCUGAAAAACAUGACUCAUCAAUUAGUACUGGAGCUCAAUGGCUUAAACAUCAGGCUGUUCUGAACAGCCGGGUACACAAUUUGAUUCAGGCAGUAGAGGGAAGGCUGUUGAGAAUGGCUGAGGAGUCCCUAAAGACAAGAGAAGAAGUUGCUGUUUACUGAUGGGUUGAAUGUUUUGAAAACUCAUUUGAAAGCGUUGAAGCCAACUGUCCAUUUCUUCUUUUAAUGUAAGUUUCAAAAGCCAUUCUGCUCUUUUUUUUCUUCCUUGGUUUCAGAGGAAGUAAAAUUGAAUAUAUAUGGAAGGCAAGACAGUAUAAUGAAGAAAAACAACAAGGAUAAUUCCUUCCUAACUAUGUAUUGGAACAAUUAAGAAAUGAUAGCUCUGAAACUUAGGUCCAGUGGAAAGGACCUGGGCUCAGCUGGUUGGGGCUAUAGAUCUGAUUGGCAAGUUGGUUUUAGGGUUUACUUGCUUGCAGAUAAAAAUGAAGCUUUUGAGUAUCCUUAAAACUCUCUUAAGUAAUUAGUUUGCCUGAAACUCCUUGAGCCAAAGACCUGAAACUGUUUGACGUGGUGGAAAGGCACAGAACUUGGGAAUGAGGAAACCAGAGAAGUCUGUGCCUUAUCUGAGGCCUGC
rnacentral:lncRNA from 1 species